GCGCCAUUAGUGUAGUGGUUAACACAUCUGCUUCCCAUUUUCCUGUGCGAUCUUGGAACCAGCAGAAGGCUCGAGUUCAAAUCUCGGAUGGCGCA